UACGGGGGGGGCAAGCGUUGUUCGGAAUUACUGGGCGUAAAGGGCUCGUAGGCGGCCAACUAAGUCGGAUGUGAAAUCCCCAGGCUUAACUUGGGAACUGCAUCCGAUACUGGAUGGCUUGAAUCCGGGAGAGGGAUGCGGAAUUCCAGGUGUAGCGGUGAAAUUCGUAGAUAUUCGGAAGAACACCAGUGGCGAAGGCGACUCACUGGACACAUAUUGACGCUGAGGUGCGAAAGCGUGGGGAGCAAACAGG
rnacentral:rRNA from 1 species